rnacentral:lncRNA from 1 species
CCCGAUUUUCCCCUUUAUUUUAAAAGUUAAGGGGUUGCUCCUUUAAAAAAGUCAUUUUGGAUGAUUUGCAGUAAUUUAAAGAUGUCUCGAUUAUGCAUUAAAAACGCAGACUCGCCAUCAGCGUGCUUACAGACGAAGAAAAACAAUUUCGAUGUUAAGGAUCACUACAUUUCUAUCUUUUCUAUUUGUUUCAAAUGGUAUUUUUUCUCCAAGGAGUAUUUGGCAAAGAGAG